rnacentral:rRNA from 1 species
GACGAACGCUGGCGGCGUGCCUAAUACAUGCAAGUCGAGCGGAAGUUGGAGAGCUUGCUCUUCAACUUUAGCGGCGGACGGGUGAGUAACACGUGGGCAACCUGCCCUGCAGAUCGGGAUAACUCCGGGAAACCGGUGCUAAUACCGAAUAGUUUUCGCCACCUCCUGGUGGCGUACGGAAAGACGGUUUCGGCUGUCACUGCAGGAUGGGCCCGCGGCGCAUUAGCUAGUUGGUGGGGUAACGGCCCACCAAGGCAACGAUGCGUAGCCGACCUGAGAGGGUGGACGGCCACACUGGGACUGAGACACGGCCCAGACUCCUACGGGAGGCAGCAGUAGGGAAUCUUCCGCAAUGGACGAAAGUCUGACGGAGCAACGCCGCGUGAGUGACGAAGGUUUUCGGAUCGUAAAACUCUGUUGUGAGGGAAGAACAAGUACCAACUAACUACUGGUACCUUGACGGUACCUCACCAGAAAGCCACGGCUAACUACGUGCCAGCCGCCGCCGUAA